UGUUGAAAAUAAUUUCUCCACCCAAUGGCAUCUAUCGAGGUAUCUCUAAAGCCAAUGCAUUUAACUUUGUGUGUAAUAGCGUUGGAAGCACCCAAGUUUGGGUCCUCUGAAUAUCAUUGUGUUACAGACACAACUCAAUUUAAAACAAAAAUUAUGUUUUUUUACUACUUCUGUAAAAUGUAAAUUCUAGAACCUUUAGCCAGUAAUUCGGGAUUGGUUGAUACAAUGAGCCGCCGAACCUUUGCUUCUGAUUAUUUUGUUUAACAUGUUCAAUUAUUUGUAUGUCUUAAAUUAACAGACCUCAAAUUUUAACUGGGGUUGCCAGUUCACUAGAAGCAUGACAAAUUAUCUUCUAAAAAGUAGUAAUACUGUUAAAUGGUAUAUGGUCCUGAUGAAGUAGUAAUAACCUAAAUUUAGACCUCUCUCUCAUUAUAUCAUUCUGAAGUAAUGACCUAAAUUUAUAAUAGCCGUAAGGUAUGAGUUCUCCAGAAGUUUUUCAUUGUUACACUGGAAUCAACUUAAUCGAACGUCAGUGCCAAAUUAAUCUACAGAUUGGCUGUAUGUGUGGAAUUAGAUUUAUUGUGAAACUUGUACUGCCUGAAUGUGUCAGCAGGAACUAAUUUAGAUAACAGGUGCAUAUGAACAAUAAUUCUGUGAUAUUUCAAAUAUCAGACUGACAAGAUGAGAUAUGAAAAAGAACAUCAACCUGUUGACCUUUUAAAAUGAGACUUUGAAGCAUCCUGUGUUAGACCUUUGGUUCCUCUGUCAUCAUCUAGACCUUUGAGUCUUGUAUCAUAUGGAACCCCCUGUUGGUGUCCAGUGGAGAAGGGACAAACAUUGAGUACAUCCCAAUUGACAAACAUUGAGUAAUGUAUGAAAAAUGCUUCAGUUAAAUUGCAAUUCACUCAGUAUUUAGCUUGUAAUAAGUACUCUUGAGUUUUGUUUCAUCCAAAUCAGAUACAGAAUUCCAUCAUAACAAUAUAGCAGAUUAGCAGGCUUCUAGAAUGAAAAGCUUGGCUACAAAGCACAUGAGGACUGAACAAACAAAACCUAGCUUUCUUUUCUUCAUAUAAACUUAAUACUUCAGAUAAAUCGUUCUGCUAUAUGGAAGUGAGACCUAAGCCCAAGACUUACCAGAGCAGGUUGGGCGGCAGCUUGGCAGCCGGAGCAGGCUUCUAUACCUCGGCGUUCUAGGCCGCCGCGGCCAGGAGCUACGUCGGGCAGGCUGGCGUCAUCGCUGAGGUUGGACACCGGCGGCAGUGUCGAUACAGGGGAGACCGGAAGCGUUGGUGGCAGCGUGAGGUCGUAUCGGAGGUGGAGGCUGCGGGGCGAGCCGUGGUGGGGAGAGGAUGCCGAGGGCGAGUCGUGGUGAGGAGAGGAGGCGGCAGGGAGAAGCGACAUGUGCGAGGCUGUGAGGUGGGCAGAGUGGAUGAUGUGCGGUGAGAGGGCUGGAUUUUUUCUGAUAACUAAUGCUUCUUUAUUUUUUUUAUUGAGAAACACAUCUUUAUUAUUUCUAUAAGUGUGGCUACUGUGCGUGCCGGCGAGAGAAGUGUCAAACAGGCCCAACAAGCGAAUGCCCGUACGAGCCUAGGUAGGUCUGGAAGCGGCUCACUCCUCUCAAGAAAUACAGGAGCUGAUCUAGAAGACGAGUGAAUCCUCUUCGCACAAAACGGGUGCGUCCUUGCAUCCAGCAGUCUGCCAAAAAAAUUAUACAUAUUUCACAUGAUUAUAUAUAAUUUUUGUUUGAUAUAUGUCUCAUUUUCACAAAAUAGACUUAAAAAAGGAAUUAUGUUCAUUGCUAUGAAAAUGACGACCUCAGUAAGCAUGGACACAAACAUGACGGGUCGGAGGUGCAUAUAAGUAAGAGAAAUAUAUUUUUCUAUGCAUGUUAAUAAUUACUUUACCGAAAUACAAUUCAAGUGAAGUGGUUUUUAAUUAUUUUUCUAAUGUUAGUGGUUAUCUUUUAUAUAGACGUAAAAUUUGACAUAUAUAUUAUGUCAAUUAUGAUUUUUGUACUCAUUUGAUUUGUAUAUUUUUCAGUAAUUAAUUUAAUUUUAUAUCAUGUCAACUCAGUUGAUCAAUGUUUGAGACGUGCACUCAGUUGAUUCCUUUAUAUUAUUCCAAAGGCUUGGCAAUGAAUUUGAAUUAAAGUUAUGAACAUGAUUCACCGGAAAUUGGAAGAAGGACGUCAUGAAUUUGUAAUUAUAGGAAAUUGUACUUUCUAGGUUUUUUUAUGGUCUUGCUUCUAAAUUCGAUUUUAUCUUGGGUGGAUUUUCAAAGCAGGCAUGGGUAUUGUCCUUUUUGCUUAGCAUGCCUUCUUUACUGGUAAAGAAACACAUUA
rnacentral:lncRNA from 1 species